ACGGAAGGCAGCAGUGAGGAAUAUUGGUCAAUGGGCGAGAGCCUGAACUAGCCAAGUAGCGUGAAGGAUGACUGCCCUACGGGUUGUAAACUUCUUUUAUACGGGAAUAAAAAAGGCCACGUGUGGCCUUUUGCAUGUACCGUAUGAAUAAGCAUCGGCUAAUUCCGUGCCAGCAGCCGCGGUAAUACGGAAGAUGCGAGCGUUAUCCGGAUUUAUUGGGUUUAAAGGGAGCGUAGGCGGGUCUUUAAGUCAGUGGUCAAAGCGUGUGGCUCAACCAUACCACGCCAUUGAUACUGGAGACCUUGAGUGCACAUAAGGAUGGUGGAAUUCGUCGUGUAGCGGUGAAAUGCUUAGAUAUGACGAAGAACUCCGAUUGCGAAGGCAGCUGUCCGGGGUGUAACUGACGCUAAUGCUCGAAAGUGCGGGUAUCAAACAGGAUUAGAUACCCUGGUA
rnacentral:rRNA from 1 species